rnacentral:lncRNA from 1 species
AUGAAAUUGUACUCUACCUGUGAGGAGCCUGUGGGGUCACAGGGCCUUCUUCGAAGUCUUCUCAUAGGGCCUUUGAAAGACGGCCCACAGGAACCCAGGGCUGUAACAGUGAACUUCCUAAUCGACCCUGGCAGGGUGGAACAAGGAGCCCAGGAGUUGAGAGCAAACAUGUCCAAUGUCUUGGCAACACUCAGGAUCUGGAAGCUGACCUGGAAGCAGUCAGAAGACUGGAAAAGUGCAGGCUGAGUCAAGAAAACUGUGAAGCUCAGUGACCAUUUCCAGCAAAGACAUUCUGGCACCAAUGGCUUGCUGCCUAGAGGAGACACUGGAGCAGCCUACAACUUCUGGUAUUCAGCAGCGUUUAUCCAUCCAUACAACCUUGGGACAUUCUUUUAACUUUAGUGGUUAAAUAACAAGGUGAUGUUUUCUGUAACAUAAUAGAAAAAAAAAAACAGAAGCAUUCUGUGGAGUGAUUUCAAACAAACAAACAACACCCCCACCCCCACAAUCCAUUAACAAUGGAAAACAGCAAAUCAGAGACAAACAUAUGGAUUAAUCUCAUUAAGGAGAAGCAUAGUGCUUGAAGCCCCCUUUCUUCCUAUUUUCUUCCCUCUGCUUUUGUUUUUUCCUUGCCCAAGGAAAUCAGUGAAAAGGACUUUUUUUUUUUUUUUUUCAGGCUUUUGGAGUAGUUUUCAAAGACUGCUGGCAGCACAGAGGCUUUAUCUUUUAGAAGUCAUGUGCAACUAUAUCUGUAAUAAUCUAUGAUAGAUGAAGUGAUAACGUACAAUAUGUCUUAGGCAUGGCAAAAUGAGAGCUGUGAAAAAAUUGAAAACUUAACAUGAUAGAUGGCCUUUCUUGAAUUACACAAAGUAACUGGUUCAUUCUUAAUUUAAAACUUGGUGGCUGAUGCAUAAAAAUUUAAAGUGUUUUAAAUCCAUAUGUUUUUAACAGGAGAAAGACUCUUACACUGAAGAAUGAUAUUCAAGUCGCUCUUAGAUAGUAUAAGGUUUAUUCUAACAAGAAACACACUUUUUUAUUGUUAUAUCGAUUCCACUUGUAAUUAAUAGUGUAUGGUUUACUAUUGUCUUUUUAUAUACAAAAUUCUACAAAAGACAUUAAGACCAGGUACAACUGAUUUCUUAAGAGUUUAUGUGGGGAGGAGAGUACAAUUGCAUAUUUUGAAGGUAUUCUGUAAAUGUAAAUUGUAGCUGACACAAAUCAACAGGAACUAGAUUAUCUAAUCAGCUCUCGGCUCAUAAUCUCUCUCUAAAUUUAAUUGAAGUGGUGGAGACUGUUUUCUUCUGGAGUUUGAAUAAGGUGUCAUUUUCAAUCCGCACUUCUUUUUGUUUAUGUAUUUUUGAAUGUCUGAUAUCAUCUCUUCUUCUGUCAGUGCUGAACUCUAAGUUGGUGUUAAAGGUCUAGCAAACUCUUCUGGGUAAUCUAAUCAUUGCCCAACAUGCUAGCAAUGCCAUGGCUUAUCCAUUUUGAUGGUCAUUUUUGUUUGCAGGUCUGCAUGCAAUAGGAAAUAGAGUGUGACACAUGAUAUAUUUUAUACCAGCUGUGAAAGAAUUAAGAUCUAGCUUCAGUUUAGGGAAGAAUUUCAGCAACUGCAUAUUAAUGAUGCCAUGGAACAUAAUCAUGCGCUUAGUCUUAUGCCAAAUGUGGUGAAUUGGUGAAUUGAGGCCUCACUUGUUUUGACCUUCACAGGAAAUACGAUGGUCAGCCAGAGGUGAAUGUCUCCAUAAUCAAAUCACAAAGCUCGGGAUACUUCCAACCCACUUCUAGACACCUCUCUCACUUCAAUUAGCAAUCCAUCAAAAUUGAAAAGUAAAGCAGGGGAAGAGAUGUGUUUAGCUCCUUCCUGGUACUGGGAAGCUAGCCGCUGAAUAUGUUACUUUAAUAAAACCCAUGGGAAGCUUGGAAGGCUUGCA